rnacentral:rRNA from 1 species
GGUGAUCUAGCCAUGGGCAGGUUGAAGGUUGGGUAACACUAACUGGAGGACCGAACCGACUAAUGUUGAAAAAUUAGCGGAUGACUUGUGGCUGGGGGUGAAAGGCCAAUCAAACCGGGAGAUAGCUGGUUCUCCCCGAAAGCUAUUUAGGUAGCGCCUCGUGAAUUCAUCUCCGGGGGUAGAGCACUGUUUCGGCAAGGGGGUCAUCCCGACUUACCAACCCGAUGCAAACUGCGAAUACCGGAGAAUGUUAUCACGGGAGACACACGGCGGGUGCUAACGUCCGUCGUGAAGAGGGAAACAACCCAGACCGCCAGCUAAGGUCCCAAAGUCAUGGUUAAGUGGGAAACGAUGUGGGAAGGCCCAGACAGCCAGGAUGUUGGCUUAGAAGCAGCCAUCAUUUAAAGAAAGCGUAAUAGCUCACUGGUCGAGUCGGCCUGCGCGGAAGAUGUAACGGGGCUAAACCAUGCAC